rnacentral:rRNA from 1 species
UACGUAGGGGGCAAGCGUUGUCCGGAUUUAUUGGGCGUAAAGAGCGUGUAGGCGGCUUUACAGGUCCGCUGUGAAAACUCGAGGCUCAACCUCGAGCUGUCGGUGGAAACCGUAAGGCUAGAGUCCGGAAGAGGAGAGUGGAAUUCCCGGUGUAGCGGCGAAAUGCGCAGAUAUCGGGAAGAACACCCGUGGCGAAGGCGGCUCUCUGGGACGGUACUGACGCUGAGACGCGAAAGCGUGGGGAGCGAACAGG